rnacentral:rRNA from 1 species
AUGGCGCCGCCGCUGCCGCCGACGGCGAAAUGCCCGACCACCGUGCUCGAUCUCGACGACGACCUCCUCUGCGAGGUGUUCCUCCGCCUCCCCGGCCUCCCGAGCCUCGUCCGCGCCGCCCUCUCCUGCCGCACCUUCCACUCCGCGGUCCGUUCCUCCCCCGCCUUCCGCCGCAGCUUCCGGGCUCUCCACCCGUCUCCCUUCGUCGGCCUCUUCGUCCAGCGCCGAGGCUUCAAGCCCGAGGCCUCCUCUUUCCACGCCCACCACAGCCCCCCUGACCAGGACUUCGAGGCCGCUGCCCGCGGCGGCGAUUUCUCCCUCACCGCCCUCCCACUCCCAGACGCCGACGGCAGCGAAGACGGCAAUGAGGAGGAGGAGUACGAGGAGUACGAGGAAGAAGACGAGGAGGAGGAGGAGGAGGCCUCGCCCGUGUGGGAGAUUGAGCGGUGCUGCGACGGCUACGUGGUUGUCUUCAACCGGAGGGCCAAGCAGAUAGCUGCCUACAACCCUCUCACCCGGGCACUGCAUCUCUACCCCUCACCGCCCCGCCUCUUCUCCGAUGCCACUAGCUUCGAAUUCCACAUUAUCUCCUCCCAAGAGGACCCCGGCGCACCACCCCGCGUGGUGUGUUUCGAUUUCAACUUGUUUCAGGCGAAGGCGGUUGUCCACCUCAUCUCGCCGGACAGCAGCAUCAAGUCCAAGUGCCGCAAGUUCCCUGGCACCGGGAGCGGGGUCACCGGCAAGAUGGUGAAUGGGUCUGUCUAUUGGACGCACGUGGGGAAACCCUACAUCACAGUGCUCGACACCACGACACUGAAGUUCACUAAAAUGGAUCUGCCGCCGCUCUUGGCAGAUCAGGAAGGCCGUAAGUGUGCUUUUGUGUUUGGUAAUACCAAGGGUGGGAGGCCCUGUAUCGUUUCCCCAGAUUUGUGGGGUGGUUGCUCGCUUGAUGUCUUUUUCUGGAGACCCGAGGAUGAGCAUUGUGACGAUGGUCGCAAUUACUGGUUGUACCAGACAUUUCCCUUGAAAAUGACUCGCCAGUUCGUUAAGUUCCCAAAAGGAGGUGAUGAAUUUAUCAUUGUGCGGCUUAUGGAUGUUACAGAUGGAAUCAUGUACCUGCGUACUGAGUAUGACGGGUGUACCGAGUCUCCUCAGUUGUUGCUAUCCUUUUGCCUCGAAACAGCAGAGCUGAAACUGAUAUGUGAAGAUUAUCACAAGCCUGUCCAUCCCUACAUCAUGGCGUGGCCUCCUUCUUUGGUACAAAAUGACGAGGGUCCCUGUUCAAAAGAUCAAGCUCUAUCUACCGCAAGCUCUGAAGGAUGUGAUGUGAAGGCUGGAGGUGGCCAAACAUUGCCUGCAUCUGUUGCGAAAGCAUAA